AUUGAACGCUGGCGGCAUGCUUUACACAUGCAAGUCGAACGGUAACAGGCCGCAAGGUGCUGACGAGUGGCGAACGGGUGAGUAAUGCAUCGGAACGUGCCCAGUCGUGGGGGAUAACGCAGCGAAAGUUGCGCUAAUACCGCAUACGAUCUAUGGAUGAAAGCGGGGGACCGUAAGGCCUCGCGCGAUUGGAGCGGCCGAUGUCAGAUUAGGUAGUUGGGGGGGUAAAGGCUCACCAAGCCGACGAUCUGUAGCUGGUCUGAGAGGACGACCAGCCACACUGGGACUGAGAAACGGCCCAGACUCCUACGGGAGGCAGCAGUGGGGAAUUUUGGACAAUGGGCGCAAGCCUGAUCCAGCAAUGCCGCGUGCAGGAAUAAGGCCUUCGGGUUGUAAACUGCUUUUGUACGGAACGAAACGGUCCUGGUUAAUACCCGGGGCUAAUGACGGUACCGCAAGAAUAAGCACCGGCUAACUACGUGCCAGCCGCCGCGGUAAUAC
rnacentral:rRNA from 1 species